rnacentral:snRNA from 1 species
AGAUUCAAGGGCAAUCUGGUUGUAGCAUCUGUCACUCCAUUGACUGGCAGGGUUUAUUUGGCUGAUCUGGCUGGCUAGGCAGGUGUCCCUGCCUUUGCUCACUACUCCGUGUGUGACCCUCCUGAAGCUGGGCACUUGGUCGAACAGUACAACCUUCCUAAAUAGUGGAGGACCGUUCUUCAAUCAAGGGCAUAUGAGCAACUGAACUCCCCUGGUAGAACCUCCAAACAAUCUCUCAGUAGCCUAACACCAAAACAAAACAAAUGCAUUUAGCUAAUCUACACUUUUUUUUUGU